UAUGGGCGUAAGCGUGCGCAGGCGGUUGUGCAGACCGAUGUGAAAUCCCCGGGCUUAACCUGGGAAUUGCAUUGGUGACUGCACGGCUAGAGUGUGUCAGAGGGGGGUAGAAUUCCACGUGUAGCAGUGAAAUGCGUAGAGAUGUGGAGGAAUACCGAUGGCGAAGGCAGCCCCCUGGGAUAACACUGACGCUCAUGCACGAAAGCGUGGGGAGCAAACAGGAUUAGAUACCCUGGUAGUCCACGCCCUAAACGAUGUCAACUAGUUGUUGGGGAUUCAUUUCCUUAGUAACGUAGCUAACGCGUGAAGUUGACCGCCUGGGGAGUACGGUCGCAAGAUUA
rnacentral:rRNA from 1 species